rnacentral:rRNA from 1 species
UACGGAGGGUGCGAGCGUUGUCCGGAAUCAUUGGGCGUAAAGCGUGCGCAGGCGGUUUUGUAAGCCAGAUGUGAAAGCCCCGGGCUUAACCUGGGAAUGGCAUUUGGGACUGCAAGGCUGGAGUGUGGCAGAGGAGACUGGAAUUCCUGGUGUAGCAGUGAAAUGCGUAGAUAUCAGGAGGAAUACCGAUGGCGAAGGCAGGUCUCUGGGCUGACACUGACGCUCAUGCACGAAAGCGUGGGGAGCAAACAGG